AAACUUUUAACAACGGAUCUCUUGGUUCUGGCAUCGAUGAAGAACGCAGCGAAAUGCGAUAAGUAAUGUGAAUUGCAGAAUUCAGUGAAUCAUCGAAUCUUUGAACGCACAUUGCGCCCGCCAGCAUUCUGGCGGGCAUGCCUGUUCGAGCGUCAUUUCAACCCUCAAGCACCGCUUGGCGUUGGGGCCCUACGGCUUCCGUAGGCCCCGAAAUACAGUGGCGGACCCUCCCGGAGCCUCCUUUGCGUAGUAACAUACC
rnacentral:rRNA from 3 species